rnacentral:sRNA from 1 species
CAUCCAAGAGGAGGAGUAUUCAAACAUUCCGAUCAAUAACGGGUACCCACUGCGCAUCAAUAUUCAGGGUUCAGGCGCACCGACCAUUCAUUCUGAUCACCCCAGUCGUCUUCGAUAAUCAGUUUCGAGAAGCAUUGACUCAAGCAUCAGUGUGGCGGGGUGGGGUGAGUUCGUUUUACAAAUGGAGCUGAGAAUAAGCUUGAAACAAAAGGGACAAAAAAGAAAAGGCAUAUUACAUCCUGCGUAUUAUUUCUGGAAAUAAAAUAGCUCAGAGGAGCUGCAUAGAUUUUUGAUCGGUCUCCAUAGAGCGAGAGGCAAACACCACAACAAAAAUGUAUACAGAUUUUUGAUUCCCACUCCUAUGUCCUAUGCAUGUACACCGUCCAAUAUCCCACUUGCACCUUCACGAAUGAGGCCGACAGGGCAGACCAUAGAUUGUGGAGAGAGAAAAAGGCCUGUCAUGCAAAGCAGGGAAUCCGAAGCCGCUCGUCAAUCCUCGCCCUGUACUUGCACCUGAAGCUUUUCUAUCUGUGUCCCGCUGCCACUCCAGCUCUUGCUGCAGUUGCACCCAUCUGUUGUUCAACCGUAUGGGUUUCUCCGCACACUCGUAAUGGCUAUUGUUGCUUUAUCUGCGUCA